rnacentral:rRNA from 1 species
UACGUAGGAGGCAAGCGUUGUCCGGAAUUACUGGGCGUAAAGCGCGUGUAGGCUGCUUCGCAAGUCGGAUGUGAAAGCCCUGGGCUCAACCCCGGAAUGGCUUCGAAACUGCUGAGCUAGAGUACAGAAGGGGCAACCGGAAUUCCCAGUGUAGCGGUGAAAUGCGUAGAUAUUGGGAAGAACACCUGAGGCGAAGGCGGGUUGCUGGGCUGAUACUGACGCUGAGGCGCGAAAGCCAGGGGAGCAAACGGG